rnacentral:tRNA from 1 species
GGGCGCGUAGCUCAGCGGGAGAGCACUACGUUGACAUCGUAGGGGUCGCAAGUUCAAUCCUUGCCGCGCCCACCA